rnacentral:rRNA from 1 species
GACGAACGCUGGCGGCGUGCUUAACACAUGCAAGUCGAACGGAAAGGCCCUGCUUGCAGGGUACUCGAGUGGCGAACGGGUGAGUAACACGUGGGUGAUCUGCCCUGCACUUCGGGAUAAGCCUGGGAAACUGGGUCUAAUACCGGAUAGGAGCCAUUUUUAGGGUGAUGGUUGGAAAGUUUUUUCGGUGUAGGAUGAGCUCGCGGCCUAUCAGGUUGUUGGUGGGGUAAUGGCCUACCAAGGCGGCGACGGGUAGCCGGCCUGAGAGGGUGGACGGCCACAUUGGGACUGAGAUACGGCCCAGACUCCUACGGGAGGCAGCAGUGGGGAAUAUUGCACAAUGGGCGCAAGCCUGAUGCAGCGACGCCGCGUGGGGGAUGACGGCCUUCGGGUUGUAAACUCCUUUCGCUAGGGACGAAGCUUUUUGUGACGGUACCUAGAUAAGAAGCACCGGCUAACUACGUG